AUGGGCGCCCAGCACCUCGUGCCUGUGCCCGCGGCGUUGGAGCGCGGCUACUUGGCUGCGGCCGUGCUCUGCGCGGCGGAUGGGUGCGACCACCGCGACUGCCUCGGGGGCCCUUUCCGCGUGCCUUUUGUCUUCCCCGGCAGGUAUGGCACGUCGGCGUGCGUGUACUUGUCGGAGACCGGUGCCUGGGGCGAGCCGGCCUCGACACACGGCGACUUAAUGGUAUACAUACAACAUUCCGGCGUUCUCGUCGCCACCUCUCAGCUCUACUUCGUCUUCUACGACCACGAGGAGAGUGGGUCGAUCCUGGAGUACGACUUCUCCAGGCACUCCCUGACUGUGUUCAGCGCAGCAGACAACCACUUUGGCCUGUAUAAUCUCGUGCUCGCAGACGACGGUGGGCUGGGAGUAAUCCAACACGUGCAUCCGCAUCUCAAAUUGUGGACAAGAGAUGCGAGUGAUGGCACUGAUGCACGAUGGGUGCUCAGCCGGGUCAUCUCCCCGUGCAAUUUGCUCCCAACUAGUGCUCGCUUGGAUGAAGGUUAUAGAGUGCUAGUGGUGGGCUUUGCUGAGGGAGAAAAUGCCAUUUUUGUUUGUACGAUGGCCGGCCUCUUCACAAUUGAGCUGCAAUCUGAGCAGGUGAGGAAGCUGCGCGAUGAUUCUAGCUUCCGUAAUGUGGUUCCUGUUGUCACUUUCUACACUCCUGUGCCCCGAGGCGACCACCAAAAUCUGUUGCUGUCGAAGCCUGGCGAGGGGGCAGGUGGUGAGGAGGGUGUAGAGGAGCAGAAAAUAGUAAAUCAGGCGCAACAACUGGCCGACCAUGGUUCCAAUGCUAUCAAGGAGGGGGAUUUUGUCAACAGUUUCGAAAGAAUCCGCCACGAGCACAAUAUCAGUUGA
rnacentral:rRNA from 1 species